CCGAUUCCUAACAACUCCUAAAAUCUUACGUUUUACGUAUCACGUAGGUCAUGCGCAGUGGGCGGAAAACAACAAAAAUUGAUUCCCCCGUUCUCUUUUUGUUUUGGCUCCUUUUUUAAAGUCGUGAAAAAAUUGGUUUUAGGGAUGACGAAGACGGGAAAACCGGAUGCCUAUUGGGCUGGUGUUAUGCAGCUGUAUGCUCAGGGGAAGUUUAGGUUUACCACCGGUAAGAGACCUGGAGGCAGAAGAUGGAAGGCUGUCAUCCAGCAGAUAGACGGAUGUCCACUGACUCCUGUCUUCAAUCAGAAAGCUCGAACAUUUGAUAUAUUUGGGGGAAAAAUUCCCUGCAAAUGUGGCUAUCAUAAGUCAGCUGAGCAGGCAGGUUCAACAGGGAUUCAAGCACAAAGCAAGUCAGGUGCAGGGACAGCAUCAGCUGACCAAGCCAUCCAGAGCAGCCAAAGUGUAAGUUUGGCCCCAGCAGAUCCAGCCACACAGAGCAGUUCAAAUGUAAAAAGAGCCUCAGUACAUCUUGCCAUGCCCAGGAGCUCAAGUCUAGAUGGAGCUGCAGCAGAUCCCGCCACACAGAGCAGUUCAAGUGUAGGCAAAGUUCCAGCCAACCCCACAAAGCAGAGGACCUCAAAUGCAGGGAGCAGGCAGCCUCAAAGCUUGUCAAUCAGUAAAUGCAUGAUUCCUGUCUGUCCAUGGAGCACCGAGGUCUUAAGCCAGUUAGAUCCUGCCCACAGAAACAAGUUCCCAGCUAUUCUCACAACACAGCUGGCUCUGGACAAAAGGUGUGUGACAUUGCUGAAACCACGAACUGUUGGAAAUAGCUCCAGUUAUGUGCAGCAAGCAUUAGAAGAGUUGCACAGCGAGGAGUGGGCAAAGCGCACCAUUUAAUAUCUGUCUGACUGUGAGCUUCACAAAAAGAAAAGUGCCUUAACCAGGAGUGAUGAAGUGGUCUACCAGAAACCUCCACCGUUUUGCCCCCUUCCUCUUGCACAGUGGUUUGAGACAGUGCAUGCCAACGAAAUACUCUGUCACUUGGAUGAGAUGAAGGGUGUCAUUACCUCAACAUAUGGCAGGAUUUUAAAGCUUGACUCUACCAAAAAGAUCACAAAAAAACUUGCUGGUGGAAUUGCAGAGACGGCUACGUGGAUGACAAACGUCACCAACGAGUAUGGCCAAGUUCUGAACUGUGUGCUAACCACAGGUGAAGGAGCAGGUUUAGAGGAGCUAUGCCAAGGCAUUGUCUUGCGUUUUCAGAAUGCUGGGGAGCCAGAGCCAGAAAUCAUUUAUGUUGACAGAGACUGCUGUGGUGCAUCAGUUCUUGAGUGGUUUCGACCAUGGAAGACAAAAGUGAGACUGGACAUUUUUCACUUCAUGAGACGAUUCACAGCAGGUCUUACCACAGAGCAUCAUCCUCUUUAUGGCACUUUCUGCUCCAAGUUGUCCUGCUGCAUUUAUGAGUGG